ensembl:snRNA U6 U6 spliceosomal RNA
AUGCUUGCUUCGGGAGCACAUAUACUAAAAUUGGAACAAUACAGAGAAGAUGAGACUGGGCCCUGCUCAAGGCCCUGCUCACGCAAAUUCAUGAAGCAUUCCGUGUUUUU